rnacentral:rRNA from 1 species
CUCAUGAUGAACGCUAGCUACAGGCUUAACACAUGCAAGUCGAGGGGCAUCAGGAAGAAAGCUUGCUUUCUUUGCUGGCGACCGGCGCACGGGUGAGUAACACGUAUCCAACCUGCCCUUUACUCGGGGAUAGCCUUUCGAAAGAAAGAUUAAUACCCGAUGGCAUAAUGAUUCCGCAUGGUUUCAUUAUUAAAGGAUUCCGGUAAAGGAUGGGGAUGCGUUCCAUUAGGUUGUUGGUGAGGUAACGGCUCACCAAGCCUUCGAUGGAUAGGGGUUCUGAGAGGAAGGUCCCCCACAUUGGAACUGAGACACGGUCCAAACUCCUACGGGAGGCAGCAGUGAGGAAUAUUGGUCAAUGGGCGCUAGCCUGAACCAGCCAAGUAGCGUGAAGGAUGAAGGCUCUAUGGGUCGUAAACUUCUUUUAUAUAAGAAUAAAGUGCAGUAUGUAUACUGUUUUGUAUGUAUUAUAUGAAUAAGGAUCGACUAACUCCGUGCCAGCAGCCGCGGUAAUACGGAGGAUCCGAGCGUUAUCCGGAUUUAUUGGGUUUAAAGGGAGCGUAGGUGGACUGGUAAGUCAGUUGUGAAAGUUUGCGGCUCAACCGUAAAAUUGCAGUUGAUACUGUCCGUCUUGAGUACAGUAGAGGUGGGCGGAAUUCGUGGUGUAGCGGUGAAAUGCUUAGAUAUCACGAAGAACUCCGAUUGCGAAGGCAGCUCACUGGACUGCAACUGACACUGAUGCUCGAAAGUGUGGGUAUCAAACAGGAUUAGAUACCCUGGUAGUCCACACAGUAAACGAUGAAUACUCGCUGUUUGCGAUAUACAGUAAGCGGCCAAGCGAAAGCAUUAAGUAUUCCACCUGGGGAGUACGCCGGCAACGGUGAAACUCAAAGGAAUUGACGGGGGCCCGCACAAGCGGAGGAACAUGUGGUUUAAUUCGAUGAUACGCGAGGAACCUUACCCGGGCUUAAAUUGCAGUGGAAUGAUGUGGAAACAUGUCAGUGAGCAAUCACCGCUGUGAAGGUGCUGCAUGGUUGUCGUCAGCUCGUGCCGUGAGGUGUCGGCUUAAGUGCCAUAACGAGCGCAACCCUUAUCUUUAGUUACUAACAGGUUAUGCUGAGGACUCUAGAGAGACUGCCGUCGUAAGAUGUGAGGAAGGUGGGGAUGACGUCAAAUCAGCACGGCCCUUACGUCCGGGGCUACACACGUGUUACAAUGGGGGGUACAGAAGGCAGCUAGCGGGUGACCGUAUGCUAAUCCCAAAAGCCUCUCUCAGUUCGGAUCGAAGUCUGCAACCCGACUUCGUGAAGCUGGAUUCGCUAGUAAUCGCGCAUCAGCCACGGCGCGGUGAAUACGUUCCCGGGCCUUGUACACACCGCCCGUCAAGCCAUGGGAGCCGGGGGUACCUGAAGUACGUAACCGCAAGGAUCGUCCUAGGGUAAAACUGG